UACGGAGGGUGCAAGCGUUAAUCGGAAUUACUGGGCGUAAAGCGUGCGCAGGCGGUUUGUUAAGUCCGUUGUGAAAGCCCCGAGCUCAACUUGGGAAUUGCAGUGGAUACUGGCAGGCUGGAGUACGGUAGAGGAAGGUGGAAUUCCCGGUGUAGCAGUGAAAUGCGUAGAUAUCGGGAGGAACACCAGUGGCGAAGGCGGCCUUCUGGUCUGUAACUGACGCUGAGGCGCGAAAGCGUGGGGAGCAAACAGG
rnacentral:rRNA from 1 species